rnacentral:rRNA from 1 species
AGAGUCUGUCUUUCUGUAUUAGGUGGCGCGACGGGUGAGUAAUAUAUAGAUAACGUCGCCUUCUUAGUCGUGGGAUACGCCUAGUUAGGAAACGAUGUAUUAACUACCGGAUACUCCUUCUGAUUAUAAUUUCAGUCGGGAAAGUUUUUCGCUAAGAGAUCGGUCUAUAUUCCAUCAGCUAGUUGGGGAGGUAAUGGCUCACCAAGGCAAUGACGGAUAGCGGGUUUGAGAGGAUGAUCCGCCACACUGGUACUGAGACACGGACCAGACUCC